rnacentral:rRNA from 1 species
AGAGGUUACUGCUAUCGAGGUUCGACUAAGCCAUGCGAGUCGAAUGUCCGUAAGGACAUGGCGAACUGCUCAGUAACACGUGGACAACCUGCCCUUUGGACAGGGAUACCCCUGGGAAACUGGGACUAAUCCCUGAUAAGUCUCCGUAGCUGGAAUGCUCGGAGACGGAAAGCUCCGGCGCCACAGGAUGGGUCUGCGGCCUAUCAGGGUAGUAGUGGGUGUAGAGUACCCACUAGCCUACGACGGGUACGGGUUGUGAGAGCAAGAGCCCGGAGAUGGAUUCUGAGACACGAAUCCAGGCCCUACGGGGUGCAGCAGGCGCGAAACCUCUGCAAUGCGGGAAACCGUGACAGGGGGAUUCCAAGUGCUCAUGCAUUGCAUGGGCUGUUCUUUGGUCUAA